UGCAGUUCGAGCGGACAGAUGGGAGCUUGCUCCCUGAUGUUAGCGGCGGACGGGUGAGUAACACGUGGGUAACCUGCCUGUAAGACUGGGAUAACUCCGGGAAACCGGGGCUAAUACCGGAUGCUUGUUUGAACCGCAUGGUUCAAACAUAAAAGGUGGCUUCGGCUACCACUUACAGAUGGACCCGCGGCGCAUUAGCUAGUUGGUGAGGUAACGGCUCACCAAGGCAACGAUGCGUAGCCGACCUGAGAGGGUGAUCGGCCAAACUGGGACUGAGACACGGCCCAGACUACUACGGGAGGCAGCAGUAGGGAAUCUUCCGCAAUGGACGAAAGUCUGACGGAGCAACGCCGCGUGAGUGAUGAAGGUUUUCGGAUCGUAAAGCUCUGUUGUUAGGGAAGAACAAGUACCGUUCGAAUAGGGCGGUACCUUGACGGUACCUAACCAGAAAGCCACGGCUAACUACGUGCCAGCAGCCGCGGUAAUACGUAGGUGGCAAGCGUUGUCCGGAAUUAUUGGGCGUAAAGGGCUCGCAGGCGGUUUCUUAAGUCUGAUGUGAAAGCCCCCGGCUCAACCGGGGAGGGUCAUUGGAAACUGGGGAACUUGAGUGCAGAAGAGGAGAGUGGAAUUCCACGUGUAGCGGUGAAAUGCGUAGAGAUGUGGAGGAACACCAGUGGCGAAGGCGACUCUCUGGUCUGUAACUGACGCUGAGGAGCGAAAGCGUGGGGAGCGAACAGGAUUAGAUACCCUGGUAGUCCACGCCGUAAACGAUGAGUGCUAAGUGUUAGGGGGUUUCCGCCCCUUAGUGCUGCAGCUAACGCAUUAAGCACUCCGCCUGGGGAGUACGGUCGCAAGACUGAAACUCAAAGGAAUUGACGGGGGCCCGCACAAGCGGUGGAGCAUGUGGUUUAAUUCGAAGCAACGCGAAGAACCUUACCAGGUCUUGACAUCCUCUGACAAUCCUAGAGAU
rnacentral:rRNA from 1 species